CAGAUGAAAGGAGGGAUGGAAGAGAAGCACCGUUUUUUUUUUUCUGGUUUGUUCAGAUGUUUUUUUUUUGUUUUUUUGUUGUUUGUUGUU
rnacentral:ribozyme from 14 species